UCAUUUCUAUUUCUCCAUCUUCACAUUCCAAAGGGUCAGAUUUCAGUACAUAAUACUCAGCCCAUAUAUAGAGCAUAAGUAAGAACAACUUAUUCAGAGGAUUCAAUUACUGGGCAUUCUGCUUCUUUCUUCUAGCGCAUCUCACAACUUCAUCUUUUUCCCCCAUAAUUAACCUGAGACAAGCAUCAUGGCCAUGAAUUAUC